rnacentral:tRNA from 1 species
GCAAUGGUAGCUCAGACUCAGAGCGCCGGUCUUGUAAACCGGACGCCGGAGGUUAAAAUCCCCCCCACUGCU